UACGUAGGUGACCAGCGUUGUCCGGAUUUACUGGGCGUAAAGAGCGCGCAGGCGGUCGUUCAAGUCGAGUGUGAAAGCCCCCGGCUCAACUGGGGAGGGUCAUUCGAUACUGAUCGACUUGAAGGCAGGAGAGGGGAAGCGGAAUUCCCGGUGUAGUGGUGAAAUGCGUAGAUAUCGGGAGGAACACCAGUGGCGAAGGCGGCUUCCUGGCCUGUUCUUGACGCUGAGGCGCGAAAAGCUAGGGGAGCAAACGGG
rnacentral:rRNA from 1 species